AUUGAACGCUGGCGGCAGGCCUAACACAUGCCAGUCGAGCGGAUGAAGGGAGCUUGCUCCUGGAUUCAGCGGCGGACGGGUGAGUAAUGCCUAGGAAUCUGCCUGGUAGUGGGGGAUAACGUCCGGAAACGGGCGCUAAUACCGCAUACGUCCUGAGGGAGAAAGUGGGGGAUCUUCGGACCUCACGCUAUCAGAUGAGCCUAGGUCGGAUUAGCUAGUUGGUGGGGUAAAGGCCUACCAAGGCGACCAUCCGUAACUGGUCUGAGAGGAUGAUCAGUCACACUGGAACUGAGACACGGUCCAGGCUCCUACGGGAGGCAGCAGUGGGGAAUAUUGGACAAUGGGCGAAAGCCUGAUCCAGCCAUGCCGCGUGUGUGAAGAAGGUCUUCGGAUUGUAAAGCACUUUAAGUUGGGAGGAAGGGCAGUAAGUUAAUACCUUGCUGUUUUGACGUUACCAACAGAAUAAGCACCGGCUAACUUCGUG
rnacentral:rRNA from 1 species